rnacentral:rRNA from 1 species
AUUGAACGCUGGCGGCAGGCUUAACACAUGCAAGUCGAACGAGUGGCGGACGGGUGAGUAAUGUCUGGGAAACUGCCCGAUGGAGGGGGAUAACUACUGGAAACGGUAGCUAAUACCGCAUACCAUCGGAUGUGCCCAGCUGGGCUUAGCUAGUAGGUGGGGUAAUGGCUCUCCUAGGCGACGAUCCCUAGCUGGUGUGAGAGGAUGACCAGCCACACGGGAACUGAGACACGGUCCAGACUCCUACGGGAGGCAGCAGUGGGGAAUAUUGGACAAUGGGCGCAAGCCUGAUGCAGCCAUGCCGCGUGUAUUAAGAAGGCCUUCGGGUUGUAAAGUACUUUCAGCGGUGAGGCGGUACUCGCAGAAGAAGCACCGGCUAACUCCGUGCCAGCAGCCGCGGUAAUAC